rnacentral:rRNA from 1 species
CCGGCGCACGGGUGAGUAACGCGUAUGCAACUUACCUAUCAGGAGGGGAUAACCGGCGAAAGUCGGACUAAUACCGCAUGAAGCAGGGGCCCCGCAUGGGGAUAUUUGCUAAAGAUUCAUCGCUGAUAGAUAGGCAUGCGUUCCAUUAGGCAGUUGGCGGGGUAACGGCCCACCAAACCGACGAUGGAUAGGGGUUCUGAGAGGAAGGUCCCCCACAUUGGUACUGAGACACGGACCAA